UACGUAGGGGGGCAAGCGUUUGUCCGGAUUUAUUGGGCGUAAAGAGCGUGUAGGCGGUCUGGUAGGUCCGUUGUGAAAACUCGAGCUCAACCUCGAGACGCCGAUGGAAACCCUCAGACUAGAGUCCGGUAGGGGAGCAUGGAAUUCCUGGUGUAGCGGUGAAAUGACGCAGAUAUCAGGAGGAACACCAGUGGCGAAGGCGGUGCUCUGGGCCGGAACUGACGCUGAGGAGCGAAAGCGUGGGGAGCAAACAGG
rnacentral:rRNA from 1 species